AUUGAACGCUGGCGGCAGGCCUAACACAUGCAAGUCGAACGAGUGGCGGACGGGUGAGUAAUGUCUGGGAAACUGCCCGAUGGAGGGGGUGGACUACUGGAACCGGUAGCUACUACCGCAUACCAUCGGAUUUGCCCAGAUGGGGUUAGCUAGUAGGUGUGGUAACGGCUCACCUAGGCGACGAUCCCUAGCUGGUCUGAGGGGAUGACCAGCCACCCUGGAACUGAGACACGGUCCAGACUCCUACGGGAGGCAGCAGUGGGGAAUAUUGCACAAUGGGCGCAAGCCUGAUGCAGCCAUGCCGCGUGUAUGAAGAAGGCCUUCGGGUUGUAAAGUACUUUCAGCGAGGAGGCGUUACUCGCAGAAGAAGCACCGGCUAACUCCGUGCCAGCAGCCGCGGUAAUAC
rnacentral:rRNA from 1 species